rnacentral:lncRNA from 1 species
UUUAAUAAUAGAAAAUUUAAGAGGCAUCAAUAAUAUAAUAGCGUAAGGAUAAAACAGAUAUUUUAUAAGGAAUGAUUUUAUACGUCUCUCUAUAAAAAUAUCGAAUAGCAGAUAUAUCCCAACAAAGUUUAAGUUUUUAGAUUUAUCCCUCAAAAAGUCCUAACGGUUUCAAAUAUACUCUUACUAUUAGUGUCCGUUAGAAAAAUAUAGUUAACCAUAAAUAAAGUGCUUAACAUUGGUUAGUGAGUGUGGUAAAUUGACAUUUUUAUCCUCUGAUAUUAUACCUUAGUCUCUCAAUUAAAAUCCUAUUUCUAUCAAAACCCUAACAAUAGAAACUUUUUGUGACAUCCCACUUUUGA